rnacentral:lncRNA from 1 species
CACCACGAAUUGAUGAUCAUGGAUAUCUUUAGAAGGUCCCUUGAAGCUGCACAAGCAUCUGGCCUCUAUAAAUAUCCACAUGAGGCUUCGAUCUGAUCAGAAGCUUCAUGAUCUCACCGGAAUGCUAGCUCUCUUGCAGAAAUUGCAUCUUGAUAGUUGAAUAAUCUUCUUUUCUUUCAAGACACUCUUAGAGAAGAAGAAGAAAAUAGGAGGAUGAUGAUCUCUAUGCUAGAGAUCAUGAGAAGAAUCUUUUCUUCUUUUUUAUUCCUAAAAUCUAUAUACCAAAUCUCUAUGCUAGAGAUGUAGAAAAUUCAUGUCCAACUCUUGG